UGUGGGAAAUGUAGUACAACGCCUCGGGCGGGGCUGCGUCCAUCGGCUGGCCGCUCAGGCUUGUUCUGCGAGAGGGUGAAUGCAGUGCACCGGCGGCGGGCCUCAGAGGAUCCCGAAGGAGGAGCCCAGAACUGUAGGGGGGAGGCCUCUGCGGCCUGCGGGGCGGAGCCGGCAGCAGCUGGGCUCGGGGAGAGUCCUCUCCUCCACCGGGCCACUGAGCUGCAGGUGCGCCCCCUCAGGUACCCAGCAGCCAGGCCGUGGUGAGAACCCCCAGAGCUAGGAAUAUCCCUGACACAGACCUUCCACCUGUCCGAGGAGGGCGCCGAGGCUGGAUCACAGCCCGGGAGCGGCGGGGGCGGGAGACUUGGCGUGGCGUUCUGGGGUUCGAAGGGUCAUUGGGGGCCUAAGGCAUGGCCAGUAGCUCGACCCCGGGUCUCUUCUCCAGGGCUUUUCCGGGCCCCGCGCAUCCUAGUCCUGGAACUCGUCGCCAAGGUGAAGGGGAUCUGCCCCUCGGAAGUCUCUAGGGAUGCUGAACAACAGUCCGGGGUCUCCCACUCCAGCCCUUUGUGUAAACCGCAACUCAGAACACAAGCAGUGGUUUCCUGAUUCCAAAAAAGGGCGUAGGCGUGGGCUCCCCUUGACCCAUCUCUUCAAAAGAACCUGGAAGCCAGAUUUCUACUUCAGGAUUUUUUUUUUUUUUUUUUUUUGAAGAAUUUUUCCUGUUAAAACUUAACUGUAGGUCAACUAGAAAAUUCAUAUGAGCAAAAAUCAUUUGAGAGUUCUCAAAAUCUGUACAUGUGUAUAAGUAUAUUAUCACUUUGUUUUUAGAAGGAAAUAUGAAUAUUAGUAUCACUUCUCCAUUUACCCAUUAAAAGUGAGUUAUGAAAUGCAUUUGGCAAGGUUAAAGUGCAGGAAUCUUAGGCUCCAUCACUUUUUGGGUAACUGCCACUCAAUGGAGAUAAAGAAUAAACUUUUUUAAAAAACAUGCUGAAAACGUUUACUUAUACCAAUUUUAAAAACAGCUAAAGCUCAUCGACAUUUAAUGAGUAUGAGGGAAAGUAUGUCUGUGUCCUUAAUUUUCUUUGCAUCCCAAUUUUUUAAAAAUAUAUAUAAGUAUAUUUUUAUAUAAAUACAUAUAGACAAUCUGGCUGGGUACGGUUUUGCAUUGUUGUCGCAGUCUAUCAGUCUCUUCAAGUGGAUAUUUCUAGGUCAGUGGCACAAUGUCUUUUAAUACUACCUGUCUUCUUACUCUUUAACUUUCUGAGAGGUGCUAAUGAUAAGCUGUUUAAGUUGCAUUUUGAACAUUUAGGAGAAUUUUUAUGCAGUUUGCUUUUUUUUUUUUUUUUUUGGUACCAGGGAUUUAAACCAGGGGUGCUGUACCCAGGCCUUUUUAUAUUUUAUUUUGAGUUUUUGAGUCAGGUUCUAGCUAAGUUGCUUAGGGCCUCCCUAAGUUGUUCUGGCUGACUUCAAACUAAGUAUACUCCUGCUUCAGCCUUCCCAACUGCUAGGAUUACAGGCAUUCACUUUUUUUUUUGAUGCUGGGCAUGUAACCCAGGUCUUUACACAUACUAGGCAAGCACUUUACCACUGAUCUAUAUAUCCCAAGCCUUUGUUUUAUUUUUAAAUUUUCUGAUAUACAAGCACAUAUUUCCUAACUGAGCAGAGAUGUUACAUAUUCAUAUCAAACAUAAAACAAUUCCUUCAUGUUUGGGUCUUUAACAUCAUUAUAAGGGAGCCUCAUCUGUACUUUGUUCUAAUACUUUUGUGUCAUUACACAUGUACAUCUUAAGUUUUUCCCAAAUGGAAAGUCCUUUUGAAUAAUUUUCUUCACUAAUGUGAAAUGCCACAUUUUUCAUAUCCUGAAUUUUUUAUGGUGCUCUACCACUGAGCUAUACUUUCAGCCCCUGAAUUCUUAUGUGUACAUUUUUUACGAAUCAUCUAUAUUGGAAAGACUUCAAAUUGUUCCAUUGGUCCUUUCCCCUGUUAGAUAAUAAUAUUCAUUAGGGCACAGAGUUUAUCUAUUUUACGUACAGUUGUUCUCACAGCCUAAAAUGGUGAGCCCCUUAUACAGUUGAUAGUUUGGUGAAUGAGUGUUCUGCCUAUUUGGUAAUACUGUGUUCCAAUAACUAAAAGUUCUGGUUGGGCAAACUGUCAUCAGUGUUCUAUUUUAUUUUAAAAUAUUUAAUUGACUAUAUGAGGUUCAGGUGAAGUGUACAGUCAGUACAUGUAUACAGUGUACAAUGAUCAAAUCAGAAUAAUUAGCAUAUCCAUGACCUCAAAUACAUAUCAAAAAUUUGUGUUGGGAACACUUAAAAUCCUUUCUUGUAGGUAUUUUGGAGUAUACGUCAAAUUAUUAUUAACUCUAGUCACCAUACUGUACUAUAGAAUAUUAAAACAUAUUCCUCCUGUGUAACUGUAUUUUUAUACCUUAUAGUCAACCUGUCUCUGUUCUUUUCUCCCCUCCUCUCUUCUGUACUUCUGUGAGACCAACUUACUUAGUCUCCACAUAUGAAUGUGAACAUGAGGAAUUUGUCUUUGUGUUAGCUUUUUGUCAGUGUGACAAAUACCUGAGAAAAACAACUUUGAGGAGGAAAACUUUAUUUUGGCUCUCAAUUUCAUAGGUCCAUGGUCAGCCCCAUUGCUUUGAACCUAAAUGGAAGUAGAAACCUUGGGAGAAGGACAUAGCAGAGGAAAGCUGCCACCUGGUGGCAGCCAGGAAACAAGAAGAAAGGAGGAAGGUACUGGGGACAAGAUACACUCUGCCAGGGCACAUCCUCAGUGACCUACUUCUUACAACUAGCCCCCAUUUCCUACAGUUUCUACCACCUCCCAAUAAUGCCAUCAAAUUAUUAAUUCACUAAUCCAUUGAUGAGAUUAGGGCCCUCUUGAUCCAGUCACCUCCCAAGAGCCCUAUCUCUGAACACUGCUGUACUGAGGGCCAUGCCUUCAACACAGGAGCUUUGGAGAAUAUUUCAUAUCCAAACCAUAAUAGUGUUUAUCAGUAUUUUUUUUGUUUUGGUACUAGGAAUUGAAUCCAGGUGUGUGCAUAACCACUGAGCUAUAUCCCCAGCACUUUUUUUUUUUUUUUUUUAAGAGACAGGGGCUUGCUAAGUUGCUUAGGGCCUUGCUAAAUUGCUGAGGCUGGCUUUGAACUCAUGAUCCUCCUGUUUCAAGCUGGAUUACAGGCAUGUGCCACACUAUGCACCCGGCUUCAUCAGUAUUCUUUUUAAAAUAUUUUUCUUUCUGUUGUACAAAACAAUUUGCAUAAUUAACUUCAAAAUAUUGUUACUCCAUUUUAGCUUAAUUAGGAGUAUAAGUUCAAAAAUUCAUUUCAUGGAAGUGACAACUUAGAAUACUGUGACAUCCUAUCCAGGAAUUCAGUAUGUAUAUCUAAGUUCAUCUUUCUUUAUAUAUCUAAAUAAACUUAAUAGAGCAAACUACAAAUAAAAAUUGUAAUUUUCUCUAUGUAGAUUCCUUACACUCCUAUUUAUCUGUAGGUACUUUGUUUGUUGUUGCAGGAGUACAGUUUCUCAUGAUUUCCUGUCCUUCCCUCAGCUCCACAUUCCCUAGGAAGGACCCCACAGGAAGGAAGAAGGCGAUGGCUGCAGGGCCUCUGCCUUUGGAAGCUCAGGUGACACAUCUUUUUCUCUCAAACCUCUUUCUUAUUCUCAUACUGUGUGUGGGAUUCAUUACACAGGACAAAGGUAUUGCCGAUCAGAAUGUUGAGGAGUUUUUGCAAAGCCUCCCUCAGUGUCCCUCUGUUCUCAGGCCACUGAUACCCUGUCCUGCUGGGUUCUUGAUGGUGUUCAAGGAUCAGAAAAGGAACAAAAAUCAUAGAGAAAUGGUCCUUGUGUUUAUACGGCUUAUGGGCUCUCAGGUAUUAUAAAAGAGGACACAUCUGUACAGGAUACAAUUAUAAGGAUUAAACAUGAAAAUAAUGAUAAGAUCAAGUAUGGUUAUGUUCCCAGAUUAUUGGUGUUCCAGAGUCUGGAGAAGAGAAAUAUCAGGGUAGAGAUUAGGAGAAGUAGGGGGUGUUUGCCCAUCUAAAGGGUUGAAAAUGGAUAAAUGUUGAGGAUCUGCUAUAUAACGGAGUUGGAGUGUCCAAUAUUAAAUCCUGACCCUACUAUUUAAUAUCUGCAUUGCCUUAGGCAAGUGACUUGACUUCCUUAAAGCAUCACUUCUUCAUAUUGAUGACAGAAAUAACAGCAUUAACUGAAUUUCUGCCAUACAUCUGGCAUUGUUAAGAAUUACCUAUGGCUCAUCUCAUUUACUUCAUCGGUUUUCUCAAAGCUCAAAUAAGAUAAUGCAAGUGAAAAGAGCCUUAGCUUGGUUCCUGUAAUGUUGAAGGUAUUUGGUAAUUGCUAGGCAUCCUUAGUAUUAGUCCAGCCAAGAACUUGGUAGUUUAGAGUUUCACUGGUGGGGUGAGGGUAGCAGUCACUGAUAGUGAGACAUGCUUGACUGGCAUAGAGGGAAUCCAAUGCCCUAUUUGGAGUCAAGCGGAAAGAGGAGCUUGCAUGUAUGUUGACCUGGCAGGCCUGGGGAUGGAAGAGGUACCUGGGAGAUCAGUCUGAGGAAUUUUGUUAAGAGACUUGGCAUGAUAAAAGUUUUUCUAGCCAGGUGAGGUGGUGCAUGCCUAUAAAUCCAACAGCUUGGGAGGCUCAGGCAGGAGGAUCCUGAAUUCGGAGCCAGCCUCAGCAACUUAACGAGGUCUUAAAGCAACUCAGUGAGACCCCAUCUCUAAAUAAAAAAUAAAAAAGGGUUGGGGAAGUGCUCACUGGUUAAGCACCACUGGGUUCAAUCUUUGAUACCAAAAAAAAAAUAAAAAUGAAAAAUUGUGUAGGAAAAAAAGCAGUGUUAAUCAGAAAGAGGAAACCAUGAAAUUGAAAUCAGAAGUGAGGAGCCCUGACUUAUUACUUGAAAUUAGAACCUGCUAGUUUUCCUGGAAUCUGUAGUUGUUGCUUUUGUGGUAGAGCACUUGCCUAGCCCAUGUGCAAGGCCCUGAGUUCAAUCCCCAGCACCAUGGAAAACAAACAAAAACCAUAAAGCAAUAAUGAAUAUUAGAGAAGGGAGUUUUCUAGAAGAGGGGAAUGUUGAAUAUUAGAGAAGGGAGUUUUCUAGAAGAGGGGAAUGUUUAUGUGGGUCAUCUGGAAGAUUCUGGUUAAUGAAGAUUGUAAUUUGGUUAUCAGUAGCCUGGAUUUGAUUUGCUGUUUAAUGUUAAUUAAGGGUGGCACACGCUUGUAGUUCCAGCGGCUUAGGAAGCUGAGACAGGAAGAUGCUGAGUUCAAAGCCAUCCUCAGCAACUCAGCAAGGCCCUGAGCAACUCAGCAAUAAAAUAUAAAAAAUGGCUGGGAAUGUUGCUCAGUGAUUAAACAACCCUGGGUUCAAUCCCUGCUACCAAAAUAAUAGUAGUAGUAAUAAUAAUAAUGUUACUUGAAAUUUUUCAGUGUUAAAAUUUUAAAUCCACUUUUUUGAGAUAUAAUGAAUAUAAAAUAACCCACUUAAAGCAUUAAAUUAUUU
rnacentral:lncRNA from 1 species